rnacentral:rRNA from 1 species
GACGAACGCUGGCGGCGUGCUUAACACAUGCAAGUCGAACGAUGAAGCGGUGCUUGCACCGUGGAUUAGUGGCGAACGGGUGAGUAAUACGUGAGUGACCUACCUUUGACUCUGGGAUAAGCCUGGGAAACUGGGUCUAAUACCGGAUACGACCAAUCUCUGCAUGGGGUGUUGGUGGAAAGCAUUAUGGAGUGGUUUUAGAUGGGCUCACGGCCUAUCAGCUUGUUGGUGAGGUAAUGGCUUACCAAGGCGACGACGGGUAGCCGGCCUGAGAGGGUGACCGGCCACACUGGGACUGAGACACGGCCCAGACUCCUACGGGAGGCAGCAGUGGGGAAUAUUGCACAAUGGGCGCAAGCCUGAUGCAGCGACGCCGCGUGAGGGAUGACGGCCUUCGGGUUGUAAACCUCUGUUAGCAUCGAAGAAGCGAAAGUGACGGUAGGUGCAGAGAAAGCGCCGGCUAACUACGUGCCAGCAGCCGCGGUAAUACGUAAGGCGCGAGCGUUGUCCGGAAUUAUUGGGCGUAAAGAGCUUGUAAGCGGUUGGUCGCGUCUGCUGUGAAGGCCGGGGCUUAACUCCGGUUUUGCAGUGGGUACGGGCUAACUAGAGUGCAGUAGGGGAGACUGGAAUUCCUGGUGUAGCGGUGGAAUGCACAGAUAUCAGGAGGAACACCGAUGGCGAAGGCAGGUCUCUGGGCUGUGACUGACGCUGAGAAGCGAAAGCAUGGGGAGCGAACAGGAUUAGAUACCCUGGUAGUCCAUGCCGUAAACGUUGGGCACUAGGUGUGGGGGACAUUCCACGUUUUCCGCGCCGUAGCUAACGCAUUAAGUGCCCCGCCUGGGGAGUACGGCCGCAAGGCUAAAACUCAAAGGAAUUGACGGGGGCCCGCACAAGCGGCGGAGCAUGCGGAUUAAUUCGAUGCAACGCGAAGAACCUUACCAAGGCUUGACAUGCAUUAGAUCGCGUCAGAGAUGGCGCUUCCCUUCGGGGCUGGUGUACAGGUGGUGCAUGGUUGUCGUCAGCUCGUGUCGUGAGAUGUUGGGUUAAGUCCCGCAACGAGCGCAACCCUCGUUCUAUGUUGCCAGCGGUUCGGCCGGGGACUCAUAGGAGACUGCCGGGGUCAACUCGGAGGAAGGUGGGGAUGACGUCAAAUCAUCAUGCCCCUUAUGUCUUGGGCUUCACGCAUGCUACAAUGGCCGGUACAGAGGGUUGCGAUACUGUGAGGUGGAGCUAAUCCCUUAAAGCCGGUCUCAGUUCGGAUUGGGGUCUGCAACUCGACCCCAUGAAGUCGGAGUCGCUAGUAAUCGCAGAUCAGCAACGCUGCGGUGAAUACGUUCCCGGGCCU